rnacentral:rRNA from 1 species
UACGUAGGGUGCAAGCGUUGUCCGGAAUUAUUGGGCGUAAAGGGCGCGUAGGCGGCCAUGCGUGUCUUUCGUGAAAUCCCUCGGCUUAACUGAGGACGUGCGGAAGAAACUGCAAGGCUUGAGUCCGGGAGAGGGGGGUGGAAUUCCCAGUGUAGCGGUGAAAUGCGUAGAUAUUGGGAGGAACACCGGUGGCGAAGGCGGCCCCCUGGACCGGUACUGACGCUGAGGCGCGAAAGCGUGGGUAGCAAACGGG